AGAUUGAACGCUGGCGGCGUGCUUAACACAUGCAAGUCGAGCGGUAACGCGGGAGCAAUCCUGGCGACGAGCGGCGAACGGGUGAGUAAUGCUUGGGAAUCUGCCCAUUAGUGGGGAACAACCAGCCGAAAGGUUGGCUAAUACCGCAUACGCCCUACGGGGGAAAGCGGGGGAUCGUAAGACCUCGCGCUAAUGGAUGAGCCCAAGUCGGAUUAGCUUGUGGUAGGGUAACGGCCUACCAAGGCGACAAUCCGUA
rnacentral:rRNA from 1 species